CAGUCUUUGGACAACCUAAUCUUGGAAGUGAUAUUUCUAUCACUUCUUCCAUAUUCUAAUCAAUAUAUGUGACCCAGUAAGUUCAGUCCACACUCAGAGGGAAAUUAAACUCUACCUUUUAAGGAGAGGCAUAUCAAAGAAUUUAUGGACAUAUGUUUAAAACAAUCACAUUAAAUAAUUAUUUACAGUUUUCUGAGACAGGGUCUUGCUCUGUCACCCAGCUGGAGUGCAGUGGCAUGAUCAUGGCUUGCUGCACCCACAACCUCCUUGGCUCAAGCGAUUCUCCCACCUCAGCCUCCCUAGUAGCCAGGAGCAUAGGUACACACUAUGGUGCCCUGCUAAUUACAAUUUUUUUUCUUUUGUAGAGACAGGAUCUUGCCAUGUUGCCCGGGCUAGUCUCAAACUCCUGGGCUAAAGUGAUCCUCCCACCUCAGCCCCCCAAAGCGCUGGGAUUACUACAGAGAAGAUUUGUGAAGCUGUGUGACCUGCCUCCUUGCAACUGCCAGAGCUGCUCAAAGCUCCAAGAUUCCCUGCUGGGCAGCCACAUACCUGCCAAAGCAUUGUGUUCAAGGCUCUCAAGAAACCAGCCAUGAAAAGCUUCCCACUUCAGGAAAAAUCCCUUGCUUGACUUAUUCAGAGAUCAUGGAGGCCAAUACAACUGCAGACCAGAGAAAAAAAAUCUGGCUUUGUUGCUGUUAAAACUCAAUUCAAAGACUCAGGCUCCUUGAGAUCCCUGCAGGGUGAUUUUACUAUUUUCCCAGAGGGCCUCACUCUGUUGCCCAUUGGCAUGAUCCCGGCUCACUGCAACCUCCGCCUCCCAGGUUCAAGCGAUUCUCCUGCCUCAGCCUCCUGAGUAGCUGGGAUUACAGGCACACACCACUAUGCCCAGCUAAUUUUUGUAUUUUUAGUAGAGAUGGGGUUUAACAAUGUUGGCCAGGCUGGUCUCGAACUCCCGAGCUCAGGUGAUCUGCCCACCUCAGCCUCCCAAAGUGCUGGGAUUACAGGCGUGAGCUACCGCGGCCAGCCCAAGAUCACACAGUUUUAAGUAGCAGAGACAAUUUAAACCUAGGCUGGUUCCUGCUGUUGUUCUCAACCUUGGACUCCACAACACUGCGUGGCAACUCUGCAAAGAAGAAAAGAUCGUAAUAAAAUGUGGUGCUGAAAGAAGAUGAAUUCUCUUAAGAAAAGAUACUGCUUUCAUGCCAAUAUUCCUGAUAAUAAAGACUAUGAAGGAAUCAUUGACAUUGUAUAGCAUAUGUAAGAAGAACUGCUAAAUAAAAUGUUUUCCAAAGAUUUGCCUGAAACAUCAGCUGGGUUUUGAUGCUUGCUGGUUGUUUAAAAUGUUGAUUCAUGUUGAACAACGUUUAUUUAUU
rnacentral:lncRNA from 10 species